UGCUAUGUGUUACUGAACCAGGGGUAAC
rnacentral:piRNA from 1 species